UACGGGGGGGGCAAGCGUUAUUCGGAAUUACUGGGCGUAAAGGGCUCGUAGGUGGCCAACUAAGUCAGACGUGAAAUCCCUCGGCUUAACCGGGGAACUGCGUCUGAUACUGGAUGGCUUGAGUUUGGGAGAGGGAUGCGGAAUUCCAGGUGUAGCGGUGAAAUGCGUAGAUAUCUGGAGGAACACCGGUGGCGAAGGCGGCAUCCUGGACCAAUUCUGACGCUGAGGAGCGAAAGCCAGGGGAGCAAACGGG
rnacentral:rRNA from 1 species